AUUGAACGCUGGCGGCAGGCCUAACACAUGCAAGUCGAACGAGUGGCGGACGGGUGAGUAAUGUCUUGGAAACUGCCUGAUGGAGGGGGAUAACUACUGGAAACGGUAGCUAAUACCGCAUACCAUCAGAUGUGCCCAGAUGGGAUUAGCUAGUUGGUGGGGUAACGGCUCACCAAGGCGACGAUCCCUAGCUGGUCUGAGAGGAUGACCAGCCACGCUGAGACUGAGACAGGGUCCAGACUCCUACGGGAGGCAAGAGAGGGGAAUAUUGCACCAAGGGCGCAAGCCGUGUGAAGCCAUGCCGCGGGUAUGAAGAAGGCCUUCGGGUUGUAAAGUACUUUCAGCGGGGAGGCGUUACCCGCAGAAGAAGCACCGGCUAACUCCGUGCCAGCAGCCGCGGUAAUAC
rnacentral:rRNA from 1 species